rnacentral:rRNA from 1 species
CAGUCGACGCGCGGAUCAGGAGCUUGCUCCUGUGACGCGAGUGGCGGACGGGUGAGUAACACGUAGGCAACCUGCCCAUCAGACCGGGAUAACCACGGGAAACCGUGACUAAUACCGGAUAAUCCUUUUCCUCACAGGAGGGAAAGUUGAAAGGCGGUCUUUUGGCUGCCACUGAUGGAUGGGCCUGCGGCGCAUUAGCUAGUUGGUGGGGUAAGGGCCCACCAAGGCGACGAUGCGUAGCCGACCUGAGAGGGUGAUCGGCCACACUGGGACUGAGACACGGCCCAGACUCCUACGGGAGGCAGCAGUAGGGAAUCUUCCGCAAUGGACGAAAGUCUGACGGAGCAACGCCGCGUGAGUGAAGAAGGGUUUCGGCUCGUAAAACUCUGUUGUCAGGGAAGAACGUCCCCGUGAGUAACUGCACGGGGAGUGACGGUACCUGACCAGAAAGCCACGGCUAACUACGUGCCAGCAGCCGCGGUAAUACGUAGGUGGCAAGCGUUAUCCGGAAUUAUUGGGCGUAAAGCGCGCGUAGGCGGUCUGUUAAGUCUGAUGUGAAAGCCCCCGGCUCAACCGGGGAGGGUCAUUGGAAACUGGCAGACUUGAGUGCAGAAGAGGAGAGUGGAAUUCCAUGUGUAGCGGUGAAAUGCGCAGAGAUAUGGAGGAACACCAGUGGCGAAGGCGGCUCUCUGGUCUGUAACUGACGCUGAGGUGCGAAAGCGUGGGGAUCAAACAGGAUUAGAUACCCUGGUAGUCCACGCCGUAAACGAUGAGUGCUA